UUGUAAUUGGAAUGAUAGAAAUUUAAACCCUUUUUAAAGUAUCAAUUGGAGGGCAAGUCUGGUGCCAGCAGCCGCGGUAAUUCCAGCUCCAAUAGCGUAUAUUAAAAUUGUUGCAGUUAAAAAGCUCGUAGUUGAAGUUCUGCUAAAAGUAACCGGUCUGCUUUUAAUAAARGUGGUAUCUUGGUGUGUAUUUAGCAAUGAUGUCCUUUGAAGUGUUUUUUACUUUAUUGUAAUAAAGCAUAUUCAGGACUUUUACUUUGAGAAAAUUAGAGUGUUUCUAGCAGGCUAACGCUUUGAAUACUGCAGCAUGGAAUAAUAAGAUAGGAUUUUAGUUCUACAUUAUUGGUUUUAAGAGCUAAAUUAAUGAUUGAUAGGGACAGUUGGGGGCAUUUGUAUUUAACUGUCAGAGGUGAAAUUCUUAGAUUUGUUAAAGACAAACUACUGCGAAAGCAUUUGCCAAAGAUGUUUUCAUUAAUCAAGAACGAAAGUUAGGGGAUCGAAGACGAUCAGAUACCGUCGUAGUCUUAACUAUAAACUAUGCCGA
rnacentral:rRNA from 1 species